UGGAAAUGAUCUAAGUCACGUGCAACACC
rnacentral:sRNA from 1 species